rnacentral:lncRNA from 1 species
ACGAAUUUGGGUAAACUAUGGAUGAUGGGCUAGCUAGAGGGUUCUUCUCCACACUUGACACACUUGCACAUAAACCAAUUUUCAGUUGUUCUUUCGAUAAAUCAUGAAACUCAACACCCCAGGUUAAUUAAGUCCGCUUAAAUUAACCUUCGAGUUCUCCUUAAGUUAUUGAAUUGGAUGGGAAAGCGCAUACAACAAUUCAAGCAUUCUUCAAAGAAAUACCUGAAUUGAAUUGGGCAGAUUGUUGUGGUGGCAGUGAUGGUUCAUAUGGCCAGUGAUAUAACUCAUCCGAUGGCAGCAAAUAUUCUUCUUGUUGUGAGCCCUGCGUCAACGAGGUUAGUACAUCAAGAAUUUCAUCAUAACUCAUAGGCAUACUCGAAUUUGAUUGGAAUUGUUGUGGAUGAGGUUGUGGUGGGUGCAUAGGUCUUGAAUAGAACUCCUCUUCUUGCUGCCAAUAUCCAUCUUGUUGGAAUUGUUGAGGUUCUCCCCACAUGUAAUCUGAAUAAUCUCUCCAAUCCGAAUUGUAAGCGUUGGAAAACAUGUUGUCCCAUGAUUGUCUAUGGCCUUAAUAACCCCAAGCAUCUUCAUUCGCAGUGAAUUAAGAACAUUGAUGAGUUGGAUAUCCUUGCCCAUAGGACACACCAUAUGUAGGGACACUUUGCGUUGUGGUCCUUUCGGGAUAUUGUGACAAUUGAAAAGUAAGUUUCGCCAAUUGAGCUUGAAUGGUAGCAAAAUCCAUAUCUUACUUCUCUAGUACCUGAAAUCAAGGAAACAAAACUAGAUCAAAUAUCAAAAGUAAAACAAACAAAAAAAAAAAAAAAACACAAACACAAAGUCAGUAACUAAAAACAAAAGACACGAAAAUAUACAAAAAGAAAUAACAAGGGAUUAGCAACUUGCUAAUCCCCGGCAACGGCGCUAAAAAUUUGAUGCGAAAAUUACUUAACACACAAAUUAAACCCUCUUGUUGUCAAUUAUAGUAAAGAAUGUAAGUAGGGAUCGUUCUAGGCCGGAGAUUAUGAGGGAUUGCUAAAACACCUUAAACUGACUUAAAAACAUAAAAUUAAGUUUAAAACACCAAACUAGACUCAAAAGAUGCAAUACAAACUAGAAAGACUCAAAACUAGUUUAAAAGACUCAAAACAGCUUAAAACAAUGAAUUAGACUCUAAACUGACUUUAGGGAUGAUUUUGGACGAAAUUAGGUUCUAACUUGACUCAAAACACUUAAAAACACAAAUCAAAACAUAUUUUGACUAAUAAAACACUUUAAAGUAAAGGGGGAUUUGAUUUUGACGAAUUUGAAAACAAAACAAACUGAUUGUAAACUAAAACAAAUUUUGGACAAAUUUGGGUAAACUAUGGAUGAUGGGCUAGCUAGAGGGUUCUUCUCCACACUUGACACACUUGCACAUAAACCAAUUUUCAGUUGUUCUUUCGAUAAAUCAUGAAACUCAACACCCCAGGUUAAUUAAGUCCGCUUAAAUUAACCUUCGAGUUCUCCUUAAGUUAUUGAAUUAGAUGGGAAAGCGCAUACAACAAUUCAAGCAUUCUUCAAAAGUCCUUUUCGUGAACAGCACAAUAAAGAUACAAUCAAAGAUCACUAAGCAUUAUGAAAACUAUAAGUAUUGAUGAGGCAUUCGUUACUAUGAUGAGCAUGAAACUCCUGCCAAGAAUUCAUUUAACGCG